rnacentral:lncRNA from 1 species
UGCCCUCAAAAGCUCUCACUUUCUUCUCCGCUGCCGUCGCCGGGGACGACCUCCUCUGUCAUCCGUCGGUCCUCCGACCAUUUAUCUCUACCUAUCCUUCCCUCUCCUCCCUGAAAAGAAAACAAAAAAGAAAAUUUCUACGAGUCUUCGUGUGCGUUCCUUUUGAAUCAGUCGUACGGUGUAGUUUCUUUCUCUCUAGGGUUUGGUUUUAUCAAUAACAGAGGAGGGGGAAGAGAAAAAAGGACAAAAAAAAUAUAAAAUUGUGAGCAAAAGAGAAAAUUUUUUUGGCUGUGUUGUUGAGAUGGCGGCACAGGUUCAAGUUCAGCCUCAGGGUCCGGGACCCGCUCCCAACGGCGCGGCUGGCGCCGGUGGCAAUCAGUUCGUAACGACGUCGUUGUAUGUCGGCGACCUGGAGUUGAAUGUCAACGAUUCGCAGCUGUACGAUCUGUUUAGCCAAAUGGGAGCGGUGGUUUCCGUUCGGGUUUGCCGC